rnacentral:snoRNA from 1 species
GGGUCCAUGAUGAGUACAGGACACUGAAGGACUCAAAGCAGGUGUCAAUCUAAGAGCC